GGUGGUUCUCAGUUGAUGCACCCCAGAAUCAGGCUCCUUCCUCUCUGGUUCCAGGUGCAUCACCUGAGAAUGGCA
rfam:Myotis brandtii contig159553, whole genome shotgun sequence.